rnacentral:rRNA from 1 species
ACAGUGCUUUCUGCUCAAUGAUCAUUAAAUAGCCGCAGUACUCUGACUGUGCAAAGGUAGCAUAAUCAUUUGGCUUAUAAUUGAAGUCUAGUAUGAAUGAAUACUUGGGGGCUCAUUGUAUCUAAUGUGUGUAAUAAAAUUAGUUUAUGGGUGAAAAUACCCCUAUAAUAAUAAAAGACGAGAAGACCCUAGAAAUUUUUAGUAGGUAAUACAUAUAUAUUAAGGUUUUUGUUGGGGCAACAAUGUAUCAGAUAAUAUACAUUAUAUAUAUGAAGUGAUUAUAACGUAAAAAUAAAUUACUCUAGGGAUAACAGCAUAAUUUAUUAUAGUUUGUGACCUCGAUGUUGGACUAGGCAAUCAUUAUCUUAAAA